AUUCCGACUGUAUGGACAUCGUAUAGUUAUGGCACCUACCGCAAUAUGGAGAAGUAUAACAACAACUAUUGCUAGCAUAUUUAAAUCAUCGUCACAUAUCAAGAACUUUACAAUACUUAUUAUCUUAUACACUUUUACGGGUCUAAUAGCUGAUACAAAUAUUCAACGCUCCUUUCUUUGUCGGCAAUGCGGUCAUACAGUUGUAUUUGCCAAUGAUCUUACUAGGGUUGCUAGCGACAUGUCGCUGAGACAGAGAAACGAUAGUCUUCUGGGAAGGAAGGGAACAUUGAUACAACUCUUACAAAACCCUGCCGGGGCUAGAUUCGAGGUGAUUACAUCAAAGAGAGCUCAUGUAACCAAAUCUACGGUGACUGUAAGCUCAGACACUUGGUUUACUGGUUUUUCGUGGAGAAUUGCAACUUGCCCAAAGUGCCAUUUUCAUUUAGGAUGGAGCUACGAACCUCUCUUCUAUAAAGGUGGAUUAGCCGAUUCCAAAGAUACUUUUUAUGCCUUAAUCUUAGAUAAUUUAUUGGAUGAAACUUAUGCCGAUAAUCUAAUUAUAACUCCAAAAGUUUAUCAGAGUUGAAAAAAAGGUGAAUUUUGAAUAAUCUACAAUUGAACUGCAAAAUUACAGUAUACAAUAUAUGAUGAGAAUGCCAAAAUAGUAAUUUAUUUCUCUUGUUACAUCCCAAUUCAAUUAAAUAAUACAAGAUAUUUAAAAGGAUGAAAACGUUACUAUAGAAACAGAGAAAAGAAAAUGAUAAAAAAAAACAGUUAUCUUCCAUCAAAUUAAUUAGCUGGCUUUACAGGUUUCUGCUUCUUUUCUUUUUUUUUAAAAAAACAAAGGUUUUCGGAAAGCAUUUGUACAUUUUUAAGAAAUUUCAAUAUUAUUUCGAUAUAAAAAUCAUAAUAAAAGCAUAAAC
rnacentral:misc_RNA from 1 species